rnacentral:rRNA from 1 species
GUGGGGAAUCUUCCGCAAUGGACGAAAGUCUGACGGAGCAACGCCGCGUGAGUGAUGAAGGUCUUCGGAUUGUAAAGCUCUGUUAAUCGGGACGAAAGAGCCUAGUGUGAAUAAUGCUAGGAAGUGACGGUACCGGAAUAGAAAGCCACGGCUAACUACGUGCCAGCAGCCGCGGUAAUACGUAGGUGGCAAGCGUUGUCCGGAAUUAUUGGGCGUAAAGCGCGCGCAGGCGGAUCUGCCAGUCUGUCUUAAAAGUUCGGGGCUUAACCCCGUGAUGGGAUGGAAACUACAGAUCUAGAGUAUCGGAGAGGAAAGUGGAAUUCCUAGUGUAGCGGUGAAAUGCGUAGAUAUUAGGAAGAACACCAGUGGCGAAGGCGACUUUCUGGACGAAAACUGACGCUGAGGCGCGAAAGCCAGGGGAGCGACCGGGAUUAGAAACCCGGGUAGUCC